GCCUGACCAAAGAUGGCAGUAAUGAAAAUAUUGAUUCCCUUGAGGAAGUCCUUAAUAUUUUAGCAGAGGAAAGCUCUGAUUGGUUUUAUGGCUUUCUCUCAUUUCUCUAUGAUGUAUUGACUCCUUUUGAAAUACUAGAAGAAGAAGAGAGCGAAGCUGCAGAUGAUGUUGAUGGUACGUCACAGAAUGAAGGGGUUCAGGGAAAAAAGACUUGUGUUAUUUUGGACUUACAGAACCAGUGACUGAGAGACUAGUUGGGCUUUUGAAAAUGUCCGUGACUUCACCAGUCUUAAUAUAACAGGAUUUUAUGGCAUUGAAGGGAAACUCCUAAACAGACGUUAUAAAAAUUGAUCUAAAGUCAGCCAAGCAACGUAGUUUCACUAAGUGGAAGCCUUUUAAUGACUUUUCCAUUUUUGUGACAGGAUGACAAAUACUACGCAGUUGUGUAAAUAUGUGGAAUAAAACAUGUAUCUGUGGUUGUGUAGUUGAUUUCUGUAUGUACUUCAAUUUGUGCAUUUUGUGCACAAAACUUAGAAAGCUCAGUGUAAUAACCUCUACUGUUAACACGAUAACGUUUGUCUUUCUAGCAAACAUUAACCGAAGCAUUUUGUAACAGCUUUGAUUGUAUUCUAGCAUGACUGCAUUAUGUAAAUACAUAUUUAUAUGUUAAUCCUUAAUAUAGACAUGACAAUGAUAAUUCUUUUGUGAAAUAUAGUUUAAAUAAAUAAUUUAUUUUGUGAUUCA